AGGACAGAUUACUACAAAAAUUAUACAUCUAUGCAGAGAAGAGGUUACUGACAAAUGAACCUCAUACAACUAACCCAAAUGCAGUGAUCAGGUGAAUUCAUCCAUUUGUAGAGCAAAUGGGCGGACAGAAAGGAAGGAGGUGUGAUGCUGGAGAAGCUUCCAUCCCAUGUGCGGGCCAGUACUCUGUGAAUACUGAUUCUGAUGCUCAUUGCAUGAUUCCUCUCAUAUUAAUCAGUUUUUCAAAGCUGGAUCAGUUAAGGAAGAAUCAACAGCAGUGCAGCUGGUGUUGGCAGCUCAUGCAGUAAUGCUGCUAAAUUUCUAAGCAUGGCCUCAAAAUACUGAUUUCAAACUUGAGUGCUGUAAUAGCUACAUAAG